rnacentral:rRNA from 1 species
UGCCUACGGGCGGCUGCAGUGGGGAAUAUUGCACAAUGGGCGAAAGCCUGAUGCAGCAACGCCGCGUGAGUGAUGAAGGCCUUCGGGUCGUAAAGCUCUUUGAUCAGGGAUGAUAAUGACAGUACCUGAAAAACAAGCCACGGCUAACUACGUGCCAGCAGCCGCGGUAAUACGUAGGUGGCGAGCGUUGUCCGGAAUUACUGGGCGUAAAGGAUGCGUAGGUGGAUACUUAAGUGGGAUGUGAAAUCCCCGGGCUCAACCCGGGAACUGCAUUCCAAACUGGGUAUCUAGAGUGCAGGAGAGGAAAGCGGAAUUCCUAGUGUAGCGGUGAAAUGCGUAGAUAUUAGGAGGAACACCAGUGGCGAAGGCGGCUUUCUGGACUGUAACUGACACUGAGGCAUGAAAGCGUGGGUAGCAAACAGGAUUAGAUACCCUAGUAGUC